AGGAAAACGGCUGUGGUGCUUGUUUACAUCCAGCAUUUACUGGCUUAACGCUAGAAGCUGAGAAGUGGGGAGUGUGGUUCUCAGGAACUUGAACAUGAUUGGCUAGGGGUAACCCUGGCAACGCCAUACUUGGGCAUUUUCCGCCUUGCUUGGGCUGAAACGAGGCUUACGGCCUCUAUCUUGUAGUCUCCGCUUUAGUUUCUGUUUCAAAUCUAGCAAGUUAUGGAGCAAAGAAGUGGAGGAAAAUUAUUUUUCGCUCAGGAGUGGGAGCAGAACACUUGCAGAUUUCGGACCAUUGUGGAUGUACCGUGUUUUUUGGACCGAAAGGCUUUUUUGGAUUAUGCUCGCUGGACCUUAUCGGACAGAAUGAGACCACACUCGACGUGAAUAGACAAUGUUUGGGUUCAGAAGUCGUCAAAAAUGAUCUUAAUGCGGAUUCAUUGUGCUGCUGUCUUCGCUCCUUCAAAAUGAGACUCUGCAGUGAAUACUAAAGAGAUUAAUGGUCGUGAAGGAACUGCUACAAGUAUCCAAAUAAAGAAAUGUGAGAAGAAAUAGGGAGUGGGAGCUGGAUGCUUAAUGGGCCACUAACUUUGGGCUUAAUACAGGUGAGCGUUUGUGAUUAUGUGGGUAUAAAUUUAUUCUAAUUAACGUCUUUCUGCUUUUCUUCUCCGCUUCUCUGUUGAAACAUUCAGGUUGCAACAGAGAUGUGGUAAAUAUGCUAAUUUGAAAUAAAUUAAAAAGCCGGUGGCAUCAUCCAGAGGCUGCCAGGCAGACAGAGACGCAUCACCAUGGGUUAUUUCACAGCCCAGAUAUUAACAAAGGCUCCUCAGACUUGGCCUCAGGCAACAAGGUCUGAACCACAGGGCUCAAGUAUUCCCUGCAGGAGUCGAACUGAACACGGUGGCGGUGGGAUGCGUUUACUCCAAGCAGGAAGGGACCAGGCUUCGUGUGCUGCUUUCAGAACCGCCGCUACAAUAGAGACACAUGCAGCAAAAAAACACCAAACAGCAGCCUAGAAAAAAGAGGCCUCAAACUGAACCUAGGAGCUGCUCCGGUUCUGACCUGGAAUCCUUUGGUCCAGAUUGAUGCUGUCUUUACAGGACAGAGCGGAACCUGGCGCCAGAACCCAAAACCCAAAGACAAACUGAAGACCUGCUCAUCCAGCUUCAUUCUGCAGCAGCAGUUUAAAGACGUCCAGGAUGCAUUUGUUUUCCCCUCUCUGUUUGUAACAUCGUUUGGACAGCGAACUGACCACCAUCUCACCUUUGCAUCCGCCAGCGACGGGUCUGGGUGGAGCUCCGGCAGCUUAAAGGGCAGCGAGGCCACAGCGGAGAGCCCAGAUAAAUGAGGCGUGUAUUUCACCAGUUUCUCCCACCACGUCAAGGUGGGCGACAUCCGUCACUCCACCACAAUGACACUUUAAAUUGGUUACGUCAAAUUAAGCUGAUGUAUCAUGGCGCUGAGCCGGGGGCUUCAAAUUGGUUUGGGGGCCUGUUAUGAGGAAUAGGUCAGCAUUCAUCAACACUGGCUUUUACUUGUCCCCAGGCAGGUUCUGGUGCACUUCCCGCUUCCCCCGACCAGUGAUCAGUCAGGACUGCGUCACGCUGAGUCCUUAUAACAUAUAACAGGUGGACUUUACUGACUGCUGGUCUCAGUCGAGCCUUGAAGGCCUCCGUCUUCCUGCUGGUGAUUUUCCUAAGCAGCUCAGCCAGUUUUCAGUCAGCUUUGAUUAAAAUUCAUGCCAGAAUAGAAUGCCUAAUUAAUUAACCUAAUGAUUUAUUAACCAUCACACUCCGAAUCUGGCAGCGCGCUGCAUGAAUGAUGUGUUGAUUUCAUGCACGCACAGUCUCCUGCAUUGGGUAGAUGCGGUCUCGUCCAGACUCCGUCCAGAGAGGCGACACAUGGUGCUACGUGCCCCGGCGCCGCAGCCAUGCAUGUUUGGACUGCGGAAAUGCUGAUAAAAAUGAUACGGCUCAGCGAUUCACAUCCACACCUCCAGCCAUGUGGAAAGUGCAGACACAAGCUGUAUCAGUUUAACACGUUGGACACAUUUGCACACUUAGUGCAGAUGGUUUCUUCUUUGCUGUUCUCAGAAAACGCAGGACUUGUGGGACGGACUAUGACAGGACUGUUCAGCUGUGGAAAGUUGUCAAGCUGCGUUAAACGGAGUCCAGUUAUUCAGACCAACACGUCAACACGUUUUUCUAGAUUCAGGCCCUCGUUUUUUAUUUUU